rnacentral:rRNA from 1 species
UACGAAGGGUGCAAGCGUUAAUCGGAAUUACUGGGCGUAAAGGGUGCGUAGGCGGUUCGUUAAGUCUGUCGUGAAAUCCCGGGCUCAACCUGGGAAUGGCGAUGGAUACUGGCGAGCUAGAGUGUGUCAGAGGAUGGUGGAAUUCCCGGUGUAGCGGUGAAAUGCGUAGAGAUCGGGAGGAACAUCAGUGGCGAAGGCGGCCAUCUGGGACAACACUGACGCUGAAGCACGAAAGCGUGGGGAGCAAACAGG